UACAGAGGUCUCAAGCGUUGUUCGGAAUCACUGGGCGUAAAGGGUGCGUAGGCCGCACGGUAAGUCAGAGGUGAAAUCCCGGGGCUCAACUUCGGAAUUGCCUCCGAUACUGCCGUGCUUGAGGACUGGAGAGGAGAUUGGAAUUCACAGUGGAGCAGUGAAAUGCGUAGAUAUUGUGAGGAACACUAGUGGCGAAGGCGAAUCUCUGGACAGUUCCUGACGCUGAGGCACGAAGGCCAGGGGAGCAAACGGG
rnacentral:rRNA from 1 species